UACGUAGGGUGCGAGCGUUGUCCGGAAUUACUGGGCGUAAAGAGCUCGUAGGUGGUUUGUCGCGUUGUUCGUGAAAUCUCACGGCUUAACUGUGAGCGUGCGGGCGAUACGGGCAGACUUGAGUACUGCAGGGGAGACUGGAAUUCCUGGUGUAGCGGUGAAAUGCGUAGAUAUCGGGAGGAACACCAGUGGCGAAGGCGACUUCCUGGCCUGUUCUUGACGCUGAGGCGCGAAAGCUAGGGUAGCAAACGGGG
rnacentral:rRNA from 1 species